UGAGUCAAAACAUAAUCCCCAAAACAUUUAAUCACUCUAACAACAACAUUUUGCUCUAAUUUACUUUUUAGUAACUUUCAAAAGCACUACAAAACUGUAAUUGAUAUGAAAGGCUAUUAUAUUGCCCUUUAUCAACUAAAACCUGCAUGUUUACUUCAGUCAUUAGUACAUUUCAAAAUUAAUAACUAAUAUGUACAUGUUUUCAGAUAUGGAGUUUAGGAUAACACAUCUCUGUGCUCCUCCAAGUGUUGCAAACAGCAACUAAAACAGACGCAACACCUAAGAUGCUAAAGGUUGUGUCUGGGGACCCAGGCCCUCCACCUAUUUUGUCUGGAACAUUCAUCAGAGUAAUCACGUUGCCUUUUUGACUCCCUAUUCAGACUUGGGGGCAAAAAUAAACUUACAUCACUCUGUUUCCCAUGUCUAUCCUAUAAAUGCAAGAGCAGAUGCAACUGUCAGAAAAGAAAGAUUAAGAAACAAAUACACUCGGGGCACAGGGAACGCAAUGUUUCUUGAAGAACAUCUCACUCACAUUUGUUAAGGAGGAGCGAGGGGGGCAAAUAUUUAGAACUCCACAGUGGAGGCGACAAGUUAAAUUUGCUGAACAAACUCAUGCUCUGGUAACUGAUAAAGGCAUGAAUUUGAGAUUAGAUGGAGCAAAAGUAUCAGUAUAUUAACACAUUUAAUUGCACAUACACACAUUAAUGUUGACUAAUUACUGUAAUCAAUGACACACUGAAGGAUUACUGAUAUAUCAACAUGGGAUGGACAAGUGGUGUUUAUUUUAUCUUUUAUUUUAUUCUUGAGUGAAGCUCCUGUGCUGCUGCUUAGUGCUCUGCCACUGACUAUGGCCCUGGUUAUGAUUACAAUUUUAUCUUAAGCCACAUCUCGCCUGCAGCCCCGGUUAUCACCAUCACAAUUCUAUCUUUGUCAUAGCCAACAAGUAAUCACUGUAAUGAUAAGGACAUGAACCUGAUUAUCCUUAUCACUGCACUGUGUUGUUCCACCAAGACAGAAGACAGAGGAGUGUUUGAGCUGAGGGAGCCUAAGGUUGGCAUGCCACAGCUAAUGCUGCACCUCAACCCAGAUCCACUAUUUGACCCACAUAUGCCAGAGGCUACUAUUGACAUCGAAGCUGCACUUGUGCCUGAUACAUAUUAUUGGAACCGGUCUGCGCAAAGAUUGGUGCAGGGGAAGGGCGGGACCUGCCGACCUGUCGACCUGCCCAGACUCCCGCAGGACCUGGGAGUGUGAACACCUUGACUCGGCUCCUUCACCCAGCACACAUCACCACCAUUGCAGUGUGGAUCACGCCGCCUAACGCAUCCCCGAGAACCCCCAUCAUGCACUCCCACCCACCCGUCAAAAAUUCGGAAGCUGUCAUCUGAUUAAACUCAUUCAUAUCAUAUCUCCAGUAUCUCACAUUAACACUCGCAUCCGAAUCUACGUAAUAUACAUCCCGAGCUAAAUGUAUUAUCGCAGCAUAAAAAUAGAGUCGCGUGGAAAUAAUGCAGGCUAUAAAUAGACCCCGAGCAGAGUAGCUAAACGUUAUCAGUGGGGUCGUGCGCCUGGCAGCCCCGAGCAUGAACAGGUGUUCUCGGCAGGACGGAAGUGGAGGUGUUCAGGGUGGAUGUACUCAGGAAGAUUUUGCACUACAUUGGCCUGCCUUGGAUGAGUGGAGGCACGCAGACACCUCACACUUGUACUCCGGAAACCUUACACUUGCUAAUUUGCAAAGGCGUGCUCUAGACGGCCCCUCCAGGCUAUUCAAGGGCGAUUGCUUUAAUAUGGAAACGAUUUUUGCGAUACCCGAAUCAAUAACGCAAGAAAUGCAUGAUGAUGGGUUCCACAUGGAUUCAGUAUGGCAUAAUUCAUUGGCGUGCAUCUCCUUCAUACGCUGGCAGUGUAAUAAGUCUAUGGGCGUGUCUACGAUUUUGAGACGGGAGGACGGAUAAGGGAGGGGGCGGAGGAAGAUUAUGUCACCUCCAGCAGAAUAUUGUGUAUGCAAGUGUUACCUCCACACGAUAAUGCAAAACACAUUAGACGCACAAGUAAAGACAGAUUUUGUAAGGUCUUGUAUAUAUAUACACACACACACACACACACACACACACACAUUAUUUUUAUUCCUGCACACUUUCAGACACAUAAAUGAUUAAUACAUUGACGAAUAAGGAAAGGAGAGCUGAUAAUUCGUGUCAGUCUCUCCCUCUCUCCUCCUGUAUCUAUCAUUCUAUCUAUCCACACCUGUAGUUCUUUUCUUUUAAUUUUCUCUCUUUCAUUUUUCGCAUCUUCUCUUCCCUUGUUUGUUUGUUUGUCGGUUUACACUUACCUAUAAAUAUAUAAGUUACUGUUGAUCAUCUAUGUCUUCUAUUCGCCCUUCUUAUUUAUCUCAUAUCAUUAAAGAAAAAAAAUAAAACGGCAGUUGGUAAAGUAGUAAAAGAGUUAUAUGCCUGCUUUGUCCAUCUAUCUGUCCGUCUUUGAGUCUGUUUCCGUGUCUGUCUCUGUGUGUCUGUCUGUCUGCUUGUAUCGAUGCGUUUUCCUGACUGCAUUUAUUAGUCACCCUGCUUCUGCUUGCAUGCAUAACCGCAUGUCUAUUCCUGCCACGUGUGUCCUCGCCUCGAUCUCGGUCUCUCUCCACCUGUCCGGUUUCCUCUCUGCAUUUAUUUACCCGCCUACGUAUGCCCCCACCUUUACCUUACCUUCACUUCGUUCUUGCUUCAACUCUUAGGGGAGGAGGAGGAAAAGGAAUAGAAGACAUGGAGGGAAGACAGAGAAGAAAGUUGCCCGAGAUUUGAGAUAACUACCGCAAAUAUUCUAUCCAAUUCUCUGCUUUCUUCCUUUCCCUUCCUCAUACUCCACUCUAAUUAUUGUCAUCUUUUCUCUUCCUGUCUCAGUCCCUUUUCUCGGUUCUCUGCUUCCUUCCUAUUAAACGCCCUAAGCUGCUUUCUCUCUUUCCUUUUCUCAUUCUCCACUCUUUUUUCUUCCUGUUUCAAUCUCUUUUCUCACCUCUCUGCUUCCUAUUCAGCUCACUCAUCUGCUGUCUUCCUUUCCCUUCCUCAUUCUACACUCUAAUAUUUGUCUUCCUUUCUCUUCCUGUCUCAAUCCCUUUUCUCACUUCUCUGUUUCCUAUUCAACUCACUCAUCUGCUUUCUUCCUUUCCCUUCCUCAUACUCCGCUCGAAUAUUUGUCAUCUUUUCUCUUCCUGUUUCAGUCCCAUCUCUCACUUCUCUGCCUCCUUCCUUCCUCUUCCUUUCUCCUUUCUUUCGUCUAUUCUGCUUCCACGCAAAUAACCUGUGUUUUAUCGAACCAUAUAAAACCUACUGAACACUACACUUGCUUUCAUGUUAAUAUAUUUGUUAAAACCAUAUAUUUGAAACGAUUGAAAUAGCGAACGUCAUUUUUUUUUUUCUUUUUACCCGAUGGACGAUAUUAAGCACUGAAGGCGAUAUCUUUUCUUUUUUAUUUCAUGCGUUUUUUGUACCUAUUAAUACCUGCGGAUGUAACAAACUUUCGAAUGUUACGACUUUUUGUUGUUUUCCUCAAUUAAACCACUGGAGAGAGAGAGAGAGAGAGAGAGAGAGAGAGAGAGAGAGAGAGAGAGAGUUUACCGUAUAAUUGUCUCAGGUAGAAUCAUUAAGUGCCCACCUGUCUGUCGGUGUGCUGCAGGUAUGUGUGUGUGUAUGUAUAUAUGUACGUAUGUAUGUAUGUAUAUUUUGUGAUAUCGUACUUAUACAUGUUAACGAAGUGACUUAUUUUCGUUACAUUAGAAAAAUAUAAUAAAUGUACUCAUUUUUUUUCUCUUUAUGUUAACUAGUAUCCUUUUCUCUAACUAACUAACUAACUGUAACUAACUAUGGCUGGAUGGACGUUGUAUGUAUGCAUGUAUGUAUGUUUGUAUGUGUGUGCGUGUAUUUCUCCGUCUGCCUGUAUAGUAAUUGGUUAUGUCUCCUUGCAUGUGUAGCCGCUCCCGCAUGACGUAGCGACAAAAAGCGCCACACACUUGUUAUAACUGAUGCGAGCAGACUCCGCUCAGACCGCGCCUCACUAUACUCGCUGCAUUGGCUCCCCUUCUUUGGACAUCACUGGGGCACCUCACGGACAAUAAAGGGGGAGGGGAGGAGGGUUCGCACAAGUUAGAUAUUCUCCUUUUUUUGAUACCAAAGUAGAGCAGGCUUUGGAGAUGCACCCCAGUUAAUCACCGCUAUAGUGAACCGAUGUGGGAUCCAUCACCAUGUACUUCUUGCGUUAUUGAUUCGGGCAUCGCAAAAAUUAUCUCCAUAUUAAAGCAAGGAUGAGCCGUCUAGAGAACUCCUUAGUAAAUUAGCAAAUAGGUGUAGGCCUCCCCGAAUUAGUGUCAGAUGUCUGCGUCGGUUAUAAAAGGUUACUUCAGGAGGAGGCUAAAAAUAGGAUACCCCAGAAGAAUGUGUAUUUACGGUCACGAGACUAAGGUAAUCCAGAGGGAGUUGCCACAAACCAAACAUACAACUAUCAACACAAAAGGACACCUAACCCACGACACGUCUCAGAGAAAGCUAUAGGAUUCCGUCUCAUGAUAUUUUAACCGCGAAUCGUUCCAGUCAUUCUGUGGGCGCCGUAUUUCUGGCAUCAGGAUCUGGUUUGCGCCGCCGAGGUUCAGAGGAAGCAUGCAAUAUGUACACCGCCUUUUUCCGCACCUCCGCAAUGACCGGAGACGCAGGAGCUAGGAUUCUGUGUGCUGAUAUGUACCGUGAAUCUUUCCAGUCCGUAUUUCUGACAUCGGGAUCUGGUUUGCGCCGCCGAAGUUUAGAGGAAGCAUGCAAUAUGUACACCGCCUUUUUCUGCACCUCCGCGAUGAUCAAGAGGCGCGGGCGAGGAGCAGGCAAGGCAAGGCACUCGGGCACUCGGCGAUGCAGCACACGCUCGUCUCCUCGCCUGGCUAUGUCGUGCUGGCCUCAAGGCUGGCCCGUCCAUGCUCAACUACAUUCCUGACCUAAUAGAUGACAGGGACUCGCACUACGCUCCUCCCUAUUGCACCGACAAGUAUAGGGAUCAGUUAACAGCUAUCAUGGAGAAACGUACAGGUGGGAAAGUGAUCCGUGGUGUUGAGUGUUCCUCCCGUGUUUCAUAGCAUUGCAGGAGCAGCGCCGAGGACCGAGCCGAGGGGAGAGGGAUGUCCCACAACAAGGUCGCUCCCUCUGUGGGCAGUCCGUGUGGAGGCGUCGUCAGAAUGCUGAGGACUAGUUAGUAAUACUGGCGGGGCGACAUUGUAAACCAACAGCCCCUGGACUCACAUGCUGAUGGGAAACGCAGCAUGAAAAAUCGCUCGAGACCAAUAACGACAACCUGUAAUACGCUACAUGUUGUUGUGGCUUAAUUUAGACAUAGUGAGGUUAGGAUGAGCUCAAGCAACGACGGCCUCUUUUGGUUGGGAUGGUUAUAACUGCAUUCCUCCCUCUCUCUCUACCUAUCCUUCUCUAUCUAUCUAUCUAUCUAUCUAUUUAUCUAUCUAUCUAUCUAUCUACAGCAAGGGAGGCAGCUCAAGGGCAAAAAAUAGAAUCAACAACAAAAAGUUCAUUAAACGCUGCCACGACAAAAUAAAAACAAAGAAGAGAGAACGAGAAAAAUGAGAAAGGACGAGAGAACGGAAGAAAGGUCUGUUUUGGAUUCCUAUCUCAUGCUGCAAAAAGCUACUAACCAUAAUACUGAAUAAAGACUUUUUUUG